rnacentral:rRNA from 1 species
CAGUCGCCACGGGAAUACGAAGGGGGCUAGCGUUACUCGGAAUUACUGGGCGUAAAGGGCGCGUAGGCGGCACGAUUAGUCAGGCGUGAAAUUCCUGGGCUCAACCUGGGGACUGCGCUUGAUACGGUCGAGCUAGAGGAUGGAAGAGGGUCGUGGAAUUCCCAGUGUAGAGGUGAAAUUCGUAGAUAUUGGGAAGAACACCAGUGGCGAAGGCGACUCUCUGGUCUGUAACUGACGCUGAGGAGCGAAAGCGUGGGGAGCGAACAGGAUUAGAUACCCCUGUAGUCCCUGUCUCUUAUAC